ACACGACUGAGCGACUGAAGGAACAGACUCAGCCCCAGAUCAAGCUUCCUCUUCAUUAAACAAAAAUCGCAUCACUAAUUAGCAGCUCCCCUAGGCUCCCCGUCCCGGGAAGGAGGAAGCCCGUGUCUUCUCCCCGACGACAAGCCUACAAACGCAAGUGGAUGCGUGGGGGCAGGCAGUUAAGAGGGUUUAAAUAAUUCAGUACAAACUCAAAUGAAGUAUGGCGACACUUCCUUAAAUCCAACGCAUGCCUCGUUACUUUAAUUUUUAUUUUUAAUCCUCGGCACACAGACCAGUACGCAGUCACCUGGGGACAGGCAUUGGAUUCCUGGACACGGACCUAAGAUUCCCACCUGCCUCGUGGCCAAAAAAAUGAAAAGGUGGAUUCCUUACUGUUCUGAGCCACCAGAGAAGCCCAGAAAUGGACAAAGGAAACCAUAACAGUUAGCUUCACUGGCUUGUUCUCUAUAAGAAAACCGGAUUUCACUUUCCCUGUAUGCUCGGUGGCUGUCCGGCACCAGGACUCCCAAGAAUAAACGCCUCCGGGUCCGGUUGGGAAAUACACA
ensembl:lncRNA